rnacentral:rRNA from 1 species
AGUGAACGCUGGCGGUAGGCCUAACACAUGCAAGUCGAACGGCAGCACAGUAAGAGCUUGCUCUUACGGGUGGCGAGUGGCGGACGGGUGAGGAAUACAUCGGAAUCUACUUUUUCGUGGGGGAUAACGUAGGGAAACUUACGCUAAUACCGCAUACGACCUACGGGUGAAAGCAGGGGAUCUUCGGACCUUGCGCGAUUGAAUGAGCCGAUGUCGGAUUAGCUAGUUGGUGGGGUAAAGGCCCACCAAGGCGACGAUCCGUAGCUGGUCUGAGAGGAUGAUCAGCCACACUGGAACUGAGACACGGUCCAGACUCCUACGGGAGGCAGCAGUGGGGAAUAUUGGACAAUGGGCGCAAGCCUGAUCCAGCCAUACCGCGUGGGUGAAGAAGGCCUUCGGGUUGUAAAGCCCUUUUGUUGGGAAAGAAAAGCAGCAGGUUAAUACCCCGCUGUUCUUACGGUACCCAAAGAAUAAGCACCGGCUAACUUCGUG